GCUCAUGCUGAAGGCCUAUUUCCUAACCUGCGCUGGAGACUUCUUCCUUACUGCUGUGCAUAGGGGAAUGUGUCCGGGCUCUGGGCAGAGUGCCCCGUGCUCAUGCAGGUAGACGUUCCCGCUUCCCACUGCAAAGCCCACUAAGCAGCACGAUGUCCUGCUCUUUUAGUUAUGCAGGCACCAGAAGUCCAAAGGGGCAGCAGAAAAAUACUGACAAGAGAGGUAAGUCCGUUCUGGGUAAUUCAGUUCAUAAA
rnacentral:sRNA from 10 species